rnacentral:rRNA from 1 species
UACGGAGGGAGCUAGCGUUGUUCGGAAAUACUGGGCGUAAAGCGCACGUAGGCGGCACUGUUAGUCAGGCGUGAAAGUCCUGGGCUCAACCUGGGAACUGCGCUUGAUACGGCAGAGCUAGAGGAUGGAAGAGGCUCGCGGAAUUCCCAGUGUAGAGGUGAAAUUCGUAGAUAUUGGGAAGAACACCGGUGGCGAAGGCGGCGAGCUGGUCCAUUACUGACGCUGAGGCGCGACAGCGUGGGGAGCAAACAGG